AUCUAUGGCCAUACUAUCCUGAACGCGCCCGAUCCCAUCUGAUGUCAGUAACUAAGCAGGAUCAGGUCUGGUUAGUGUUUGGAUAGGAGACUGCCUGGGAAUACCAGGUGCUGUAGGCU
rnacentral:rRNA from 1 species